rnacentral:rRNA from 1 species
AGGACGAACGCUGGCGGCGUGCUUAACACAUGCAAGUCGAGCGGAAAGGCCCUUCGGGGUACUCGAGCGGCGAACGGGUGAGUAACACGUGAGUAAUCUGCCCUUAGCUCUGGGAUAGCUCCGGGAAACCGGGAUUAAUACCAGAUACGACCACUUUAGACAUCUGCCGUGGUGGAAAGAAUUUCGGCUAAGGAUGAGCUCGCGGCCUAUCAGCUUGUUGGUGGGGUAACGGCCUACCAAGGCGACGACGGGUAGCCGGCCUGAGAGGGCGACCGGCCACGACUGGGACUGAGACACGGUCCAGACACCUACGGGUGGCAGCAGUCGAGAAUUUUUUCUCAAUGGGCGAAAGCCUGAAGGAGCGACGCCGCGUGGGGGAUGAAUGGCUUCGGCCCGUAAACCCCUGUCAUUUGUGAACAAAUUGUUUCAUCUAACACAUGAAAUAUUGAUAGUAACGGAAGAGGAAGGGACGGCUAACUCUGUGCCAGCAGCCGC